rnacentral:rRNA from 1 species
CCUACGGGAGGCAGCAGUGGGGAGUAUUGGACAAUGGGGGAAACCCUGAUCCAGCCAUGCCGCGUGAGUGAUGAAGGCCUUCGGGUUGUAAAGCUCUUUUAGCGGGGAAGAUAAUGACGGUACCCGCAGAAUAAGCCCCGGCUAACUUCGUGCCAGCAGCCGCGGUAAGACGAAGGGGGCUAGCGUUGUUCGGAAUUACUGGGCGUAAAGGGCGCGCAGGCGGCUUUGCAAGUCAGGCGUUAAAGACCCAGGCUCAACCUGGGGAAUGCGCUUGAUACUGCAGAGCUUGAGAUCGGAAGAGGAGAGUGGAAUUCCCAGUGUAGAGGUGAAAUUCGUAGAUAUUGGGAAGAACACCAGUAGCGAAAGGCGGCUCUCUGGUCCGAUUCUGACGCUGAGGCGCGAAAGCGUGGGGAGCAAACAGGAUUAGAUACCCUGGUAGUCCACGCCGUAAACGAUGUGUGCUGGACGUUGGAAGGCCUAGCCUUUCGGUGUCGUAGCUAACGCGUUAAGCACACCGCCUGGGGAGUACGGCCGCAAGGUUAAAACUCAAAAUGAAAUUGACGG